rnacentral:rRNA from 1 species
CGCUGGCGGUAGGCCUAACACAUGCAAGUCGAACGGCAGCACAGGAGAGCUUGCUCUCUGGGUGGCGAGUGGCGGACGGGUGAGGAAUACAUCGGAAUCUACUUUUUCGUGGGGGAUAACGUAGGGAAACUUACGCUAAUACCGCAUACGACCUACGGGUGAAAGCAGGGGAUCUUCGGACCUUGCGCGAUUGAAUGAGCCGAUGUCGGAUUAGCUAGUUGGCGGGGUAAAGGCCCACCAAGGCGACGAUCCGUAGCUGGUCUGAGAGGAUGAUCAGCCACACUGGAACUGAGACACGGUCCAGACUCCUACGGGAGGCAGCAGUGGGGAAUAUUGGACAAUGGGCGCAAGCCUGAUCCAGCCAUACCGCGUGGGUGAAGAAGGCCUUCGGGUUGUAAAGCCCUUUUGUUGGGAAAGAAAUCCAGCUGGUUAAUACCCGGUUGGGAUGACGGUACCCAAAGAAUAAGCACCGGCUAACUUCGUGCCAGCAGCCGCGGUAAUACGAAGGGUGCAAGCGUUACUCGGAAUUACUGGGCGUAAAGCGUGCGUAGGUGGUCGUUUAAGUCCGUUGUGAAAGCCCUGGGCUCAACCUGGGAACUGCAGUGGAUACUGGACGACUAGAGUGUGGUAGAGGGUAGCGGAAUUCCUGGUGUAGCAGUGAA